rnacentral:rRNA from 1 species
UACGUAGGGUGCAAGCGUUGUCCGGAAUUAUUGGGCGUAAAGAGCUCGUAGGCGGUUUGUUGCGUCGGCUGUGAAAUCCCGAGGCUCAACCUCGGGUCUGCAGUCGAUACGAGCAAACUAGAGUGUUGCAGGGGAGACUGGAAUUCCAGGUGUAGCGGUGAAAUGCGUAGAUAUCUGGAGGAAUACCGGUGGCGAAGGCGGCAUCCUGGACCGGCAUUGACGCUGAACAGCGAAAGCUAGGGGAGCAAACGGG